rnacentral:rRNA from 1 species
ACGAACGCUGGCGGCAUGCCUAACACAUGCACGUCGAACGAGGCCUUCGGGUCUAGUGGCGCACGGGUGCGUAACGCGUGGGAACCUGCCCUUAGGUUCGGAAUAACUCCCCGAAAGGGGUGCUAAUACCGGAUAAUGUCUUCGGACCAAAGAUUUAUCGCCUUUGGAUGGGCCCGCGUUGGAUUAGCUAGUUGGUAGGGUAAAAGCCUACCAAGGCGACGAUCCAUAGCUGGUCUGAGAGGAUGAUCAGCCACACUGGGACUGAGACACGGCCCAGACUCCUACGGGAGGCAGCAGUGGGGAAUAUUGGACAAUGGGCGAAAGCCUGAUCCAGCAAUGCCGCGUGAGUGAUGAAGGCCUUAGGGUUGUAAAGCUCUUUUACCCGGGAUGAUAAUGACAGUACCGGGAGAAUAAGCGCCGGCUAACUCCGUG